rnacentral:tmRNA from 1 species
GGGGGUGUACUGGUUUCGACAGGGUUAUGCUUGGUACAGAUGGCAGUCGAGUGGUUACGUAAUAACCAAUUAAAUUUAAACGGAAAAACUAAAUUAGCUAACAUCUUUGGUGGAAACCAGAGAGUUGCUUUCGCUGCUUAAUUAACCGACAUAGGUUCGCAGCCGCCACUAUCUUUUUCUCCUUUGGUUAGAUAGAAGAGCGAAUAAGAUACAAAGGAUAAGAUAAUCAUUUGUCUAUGAAUGGUUAUACGAAAAAUUAAAUAGACACCUCAGCAGGAGUGGUUCAUGAUUACCUGCUGAAUAUUUAUCAUGAACUAAACUGUAGAAGUCUGUACGUGGGGCUGAUUCUGGACAGGGGUUCGACUCCCCUCACCUCCACCA